AGUCCUGGGGUGUCACACGCCAGAUUGCAAAUCUGGAGAAGUAGGCUAGCGCCUACCGGGACUU
rnacentral:tRNA from 1 species